ensembl:lncRNA
GCGGACUCUAUGGUUGUAAGUGAUCCGGUCCAGACCCGCUCCUGGCCCCGCCUCCAGAAAGCUUCUCAUUCACUCUUUUAUUCAUUCAUUCAGUCGGGAGCUUUGUAGGAGGAACAACAGACAGAGACUUGUGCUGGUUGGAUGUGGAGAUAUCAGAAUGGAGGAGCCAGGAUGUCUCGCAAAAGAUGGGUUGAUGCUGGAGAUAUAUGUAUUGAAGGAGAAGUGAGACGUGCCAGAGGCUGGAGGAGGAGGCACAGCCAGAGAAGUAAAGGAAAUCAUCAUACUGAAGAAGAUGGUGGCAGUCAAGAUACACGCUCUGGUGGACGGAUGAACUUGGCCCACACUUUGAACAAAAGCCCCAGGGUCUCUCAGGAUGUCACUCUCAGUGAGAGCAGAGAGAAGCUUGGAACCCCUUUCUUACCC